AGCUUAUCCAGAGCGGCUGAGGGACUGGCCCGUCGAUGCCGCGGCAACCUGCUUUUAGAGCAAGGUGCCAAUUCCAGCAAAAUGACAACCAUUUUGGACGAUAAGGU
rnacentral:ncRNA from 1 species